rnacentral:rRNA from 1 species
AUUGAACGCUGGCGGCAGGCCUAACACAUGCAAGUCGAGCGAGCGGCGGACGGGUGAGUAAUGUAUGGGGACUGCCCGAUAGAGGGGGAUAACUACUGGAAACGGUGGCUAAUACCGCAUACUAUCGGAUAACCCAUAUGGGAUUAGCUAGUAGGUGGGGUAAAGGCUCCCCUAGGCGACGAUCUCUAGCUGGUCUGCAAGGAUGCUCAGCCACACGGGGACUGAGAGACGGCGCAGAGUCCUACGGAGGCAGCAGGGGGGAAUAUUGCACAAUGGGCGAAAGCCUGAUGCAGCCAUGCAGCGUGUAUGAAGAAGGGCUUAGGGUUGUAAAGUACUUUCAGCGGGGAGGCGGGACCCGCAGAAGAAGCACCGGCUAACUACGUGCCAGCAGCCGCGGUAAUUC